rnacentral:rRNA from 1 species
UGAGGAAUAUUGGUCAAUGGACGAGAGUCUGAACCAGCCAAGUAGCGUGAAGGAUGACUGCCCUAUUGGGUUGUAAACUUCUUUUAUAUGGGAAUAAAACGUUCCACGUGUGGGAUUUUGUAUGUACCAUAUGAAUAAGGAUCGGCUAACUCCGUGCC